rnacentral:rRNA from 1 species
GACAGAGGGUGCAACGUUGUUCGGAAUUACUGGGCGUAAAGGCGCGUGUAGGACUGCUUCGCAAGUCGGAUGUGAAAGCCCUUGGGCUCAACCCAGGAAGUGCAUUCGAAACUGCAGAGCUGGAAGUCUGGAGAGGAAGGCGGUAAUUCUCGGUGUAGAGGUGAAAAUUCGUAGAUAUCGAGAGGAACACCGGUGGCGAAAGGCGGCCUUCUGGACAGUGACUGACGCUGAGACGGCGAAAGCGUGGGGAGCGAAACGGG